UACGAAGGGUGCAAGCGUUAUUCGGAAUCAUUGGGCGUAAAGCGCGCGCAGGCGGAUUUGUAAGUCAGGUGUGAAAUCUCGGAGCUCAACUCCGAAACUGCGCCUGAAACUACAAGUCUAGAAUGUCGGAGGGGGCAGGGGAAUUUCACGUGUAGGGGUAAAAUCCGUAGAGAUGUGAAGGAACACCGGAGGCGAAGGCGCCUGCCUGGACGACUAUUGACGCUGAGGCGCGAAAGCGUGGGGAGCAAACAGG
rnacentral:rRNA from 1 species